rnacentral:rRNA from 1 species
ACAACAAGCAAGAUUAUGAAGUGGUUCAAUNUAANAGAUUGAGAU